UUCCUUGGCCAUGGCGAGAGCACACGAGAAGAGACUCUCGCAAGAAAGUAAAUGAGUCAGGCUGGAAACAGCGAAGUAUAUCUCGCGAUAGCACUGUUUAAAAUGGCGGCUUCAAGGCGUUUCACGGGUGUCCCGGACAGGCGUGGAGGUGGGGCGCAGGCGAGGAUGAAGCUUGAGUUGGCCAGGAGUCGGAAAACGAUUGCAGGCGGGACCGCGUCCGUCGGGGCUGAGGAAACUUAGCGUGGCAGACCCUAAACUGGGAUAACUUUAGGGAUAUGGCCUUCUUUUCCCAGUUGCCUCAAACUUAGAGCAGCGUCGUCUUUAGCCGAAGAUUCAUUUUCCCAGCAUUUUCCUUCUCCAGGCGGAGUAGUUGGAGACAGAGGGCAAGCCAGAAACUGACCUUCCCAUCUCCUCAUUCCCUUCCAUCAAGAACUUUUCAUCGUUCUUUCCCCACCCUGCAUAUGAUAAUCACCUGGAGAGAUGAAUAUGACACAGAUUCC
rnacentral:lncRNA from 10 species